rnacentral:lncRNA from 1 species
UGAAUAUUUUAACAAGGGGUUUUGCAUGUAAAAGUCUCAUCGUGGUAAUUACAUAUAUUUUAUUAUAUAUCCAGCAUGGAAAUAAACAUAUAUAGUAUAAUAUUGUGGACGAUUAUGGACUUUACUAUCUAAUUUUUCCAAGCCAUAUGAAAGUCUAGUUGGUCAGUUUCUAGAGAUUUGCAUUGACUAAUAUAAUGCUCCAUCUCUAUAGUCUCCUCCUCUUCUUGUUUCUUUAUUAAGUCCAGCUGCAGUCAGUAUCCUAUACUAGUUGGUACGUAGGCCCAUAAUAAUUACAACAGACUCGCAUGUCCAACAUAAAGACAAGCAUGUUGUUCCACAGAAAUUUAAAGGCAUUCCCUUAUUUGCAUGCUGCAAAUUUAUCUAGAUUGGAUAUAAAGAAGUUUGGUUUGGCUUUGAGGUUGAACUAUAUGAAACAAUGGAAGCACAAAUCUUUAACACAAGCAUGUACUAGGGUAAUCAAAAUCAUUUUCUCUGAAAGUUCAGUCUAUGUACACCAGUUCCUUCACAUGACACUACAUUCACCAUAUAAGAUUUCUAAGUGUUUAAAAAUCCAAAGAAAAGGUUUUUUAAGAUAAAUUAAAUAAGUACCCAAAAUGUAAUUAUCUAAGCUAAGUUAUUAAGUUCUAACCCUUUGAACAAGAUGUAGAUUAGCCAUCCAAAGUCCUAAAAUGAUUUCUUCCCGAGGAGUGGAGUUAAUUGCUUGAAGAGUCUUAACUAAACCUGCAAAACUAAAAUUAAAACUUACAUGACGCAAGCACUAAAACAAGUACAUGUAUCGACUUUUGUUGAGGUUUAUGACAGAAAUCACUUCACCAACAAUCAUUUCAAUUGAACUAGUUGAAUUAACUAGAUAAUCGUCCAUUGCAUCUUCUAGGAGCAAAUCAAAAAGAAGCCAAAGAGCAGAAUGACUAACUCUAAGACAAAGACCAGCAGAACCAUUCAGCGACAUAGAUUGUAGUAUACCAUGAAACUCUUGCAAUGAAUUUUUUUGACAAUAAUAAGAUGUAAGUUUGCACUUAUCUGAUAUCAAAUGUAAAAGAUCCUCCAGUGUCUUGACUUCUGAAUUUCUCAAGGCUGAAGAAUUUGUUACAAGCAGUUGAAUUCGCUGGAUAAAACUUCCUUAUUGUGUGUACCAAGUGAAGGGACAAAAAAGUUUUUAUGCAAUGUCUAGGAAUAAUCUCUGAACGAUACAUAGGAGUCAAGAAAUCAACAUAUAAUUUUUAGGCCUCCCAUCCAUUUAACCUAUUCUAGAAGAAUCAAAAAGGAUGGAAAGUCGGCUGGAAUGAAGGAAUUACCGCAUUCUGUUACAAGAGCAAGUGGGGGGAAAUAAAUCGGUUUGGAGUCUAUAAAUUGAUCCAGAGAGGAAAGGAUAGGAAGGUAAUUUUUAGUGAGUGAUAGUGGGUGGAUGAGAGUAGAGCCCUUUCAAACUGUAGUUUGUCUUCUAAUAAAUAAAAUUCAGCUUAUUAUAUGAUGCUGCCCUUUUUACAGCUUAGUUCCUAACAAAUUGCUACCAAAGCAUGUUCGAUCAAAUGGCCUAGAAGACAAGAGAAAACAGGAUGGAAACUAUGGAAGAGGAGGUAGAAGAAAUAAAGUUCACAGUUCAUCGCUUGUCAGGACUCGAGAAACCAGUGGAAAACAUCACCCAAAUUAUGGCCAAAAUUUUGCAAUCAAUGGAGGAUACCCAAAAGGUUGUGGCAGCCCCCAUUAAUCCUAAACUGGUACUGAGCAGAAACAUGGCCGAUUUUGGGCUGAGGCAAGUGAGGCCCUUGCCUUAGGCCCAAAAUUUAGGGGGCCUUUUUUUUCUUUUUUUUUAAAUACCUAAUUUCUAAUUUUUGUCUUCUUGUGAUUUGAACCGGUUGCAAGAGGAGAGAAACCAAUAAACAAAUGAAAGAGUCCAGACAGUUCUUGAAUGGAAAUCAAAAAUAAAAAAAAAUGUUUGGAUACACACAUUAAAUUUUCAGCAUCUACUUUGUUUCCUCUCUCUUUAUUUCACGCUUCUUGCUUCAAUAUAUUUAUCGGGGUUCAAUUUUAUUUUUAUUUUUGUUUGCUUUUCUAUUUUCUUGCAGUUCUUCAGAUUAUAGCUUCUUCUUAAAUUUUCAGUUUUACAUCCUUAUUUGAUCUUUUUUCUGAUUUUUUUUUUUUUUAGAUUUCAUUACUUUAAUCUUUUGCUAUGUUAUUUUUUCACUAGUUCUUUUAAUUUUCAACUAUUAUUUUCAAUUCAUUUCAUUUACAACAAUAAAUUAUGUCUUAUUGGUUCUUUAUAUAUAUAUAUAUAUAAACUUAACAGGUGUUCAAUGGAAUUAGUAGACAGCACAAAAUUAGUUUUUUACACUUUCAUUAUCAGUCAACCCUAUUGAAUUUCUUGUUUUAGCUGUAAAUUGAAAGUUUCUUUACCUGUUUGUUUGAUGAUUCUUUCGUUCUUCUUUUAGUUUUUGCCUCUAGACAAUGUGAAUAGUGCAAUUAAAGGACAAUUUUAUGCACAUAAGAACUUAAAAAGUGUAAAUUGUAAUAACAAUGAAAUAGUGAUGAUAUUAAUUUGUUCAUUUUUUAAGUUUAGUGAUUGACUUGCAAGACAAGAAAUAAAAUGGAGACUAAUAGAAUGAUUUUUCGUGGGGGCAGGAUCCAAAAUCUGCAUAAUUCAUAGUAUUUACUUGAUCAUUUGGAACAUUUUUGCAUUGUUAUUUGAUUAUAAAAAUAAUUUUUAGAAUGAGCAUGUUUGAACCCUAAUUUUGGUGUACGAUGUAUUUUGGAAUAGUAUAUUAAUGGAGAAUGUAUGGUUAAAAAGUAAGAAAAUGUUUGCUUUUUUUUUUUAAGGUAUUUUUUUAUUUUUUGGUAAAAAAACUAGUUUUUUAUGUGUAAAAACUUUUUUUUUCCACGUAGUAUCCCGGUUUGAAAUUUUUUAAUCCGAUCUUCGGUCCAAUCCUGGAUCCGUUCCUGUUGGGGGCCUACUUUAUGAAGUUCGUCUCAAACGCCCAAAAUCACAUGACCGGCACUAAGCAGAAAGGUCAAUGAAGAUGGUUUUGUGAACCUCACAGAAGGGCAAGUCGCAAGGAACGCACACAGGACUGAUCACAGAACACUAGACAGAGGAAAAUGGCUGGUAGGUUCACGGGAUGUUGAGAUUUCGAUGCUACAGAGGCUUAACCUUUUAGAUCCGCUGGAGAGGAUUGUCAUCACUAGCAUGCAAUCCGAAAUUUGUAGAGAAGAAGAACUGAUGCUUGAUCCCAGAUUGGGCCAGAUAAUAGAGUUGGCACUUAAGUUGGAGGAUAAACAGGUUACCCUCAAACAGACCUAAAUUAGAUUAGGUUCAAUCCACUGUAAAGGAGCUGUUUUUAAUUACAACCCAAUUAUCAAUAAUGAGCCCAAGUCGAAGCAAAUGUCCUGGCCUAUUUUCACAGGAACCCAGCUUCUGGUUAUAACAAGAACAUGACCCAUAUCUCUUCAAUCCUUUGGCUAAAUUGGUUUCUAAUAUCUCCAUGAUACAUCAAAUUCCAAAUGUAUUUGUCAUCAUGUAAACUUUGGCCUCUGUUUGACAAACAUUGUAAUGAGAAAUUUGGAUAAAAUGUGUUUUGGAAUAUUAGUUUUUGGGAGAAUGAAUGGUUUAAAAAAUGUAUUAAAAAUUUAAUGGAACCAAACAAGGGCUUAAUAUUAUGUGUUUGAUGUGAGGUGUGAAAAAUAAAUCAUUACAAGUCACUUCCACUUGAUCACAUAAAACUAGAAAAGAUUAAAAAUGUAUAUAACUUCUAAAAUUAACUACUAAUGACAGAGUUCUGACAUGUUUUAUUGUGCCAAGUAAAUAAUUCUGGAAGCUACUUUGUAUUGCAGAAACUGCCCAAUUCAACCCAAUGGCGAUAAUCUCUCUGUAUGGUCAUCCUUCUUCUCAAAAUAACUAGGGCCGGCCCCAAGAAUUUCGAGGUCCUAGACGACUAAUUAUUACAAGACCCCCCUUAUGUUUUGCAAAUUAUUUUGUGAGUGUUAUACUCGAUUUUUAUUUUCCAGUAACUAUUUUUUAUAGUUUCAUGAUGCUCCAAGUUAAUGCUAAAAAUUAUAUCUCACAGAGCAAUUAUAACAUCAUACAUAAACAGGCAAAAAUCAAGUGCAAAUACAUCUUUUAAAAGGUUAAUUCGAAAGUUAUCAUACUGACCUACUCUUUCUGGGGUAUUAUCAAUUACUUCCAUCUUAUUUGCCAUUUCGUAGGGGCAAAAACCAUUGUUCAUGAGCAACAAUAACGUGUGACACCCGUUACCCUUUAGAACUAAUGAACCUAUCCUAGUUGGAUAAAUAUUUCGAUUCACAAUUUCUUCUAAGUAUCUUAAAUUUUCCUAAAUGAACAAGACAACACAAACCUCUAAUACAGACGGAUCUAAAUUUUCCUGAUCUAAGCUCCAUUAAUUUCUCAAGUUUUAAUUGAUUGAAGUCAGUAAUACAAUUUUCAACUUUUCUUUCAGACUUUUUCAACCCAAAAUCAAAAAUUCAAAAAAUAUGAAGAUUCAAGAACAUAUAUCUCGUCAAAAAAAAUACUAAAAAAAGAACACAGCGACAAUAUAAAAUUUUACCUUAGCUUAGUUUUCUGAGAUUUUUGGAAGUCUUCAUCGGAACCAAGAAUUUCUUGUGUGAAUAAAGGACUCGGUCCAAUUUCUCUAAAGUGACGAUAAAUGCAACAAUAGUGUGGGAAUUAAUAGAUUUUCUAGUGGAGAUUACGAGAGAAAUCAGUAACACUUCCUCUUCCGUCCUGUUCCCGUAAGGCUGUAGCCUAAGGUAAACGAAUGAUUUUUUAAGAGAUUUGGUGGGUUCUAGAUUAGGGCAAUUUUUGGGGUCGAAUUUUGCAUGAGGCCCCUAAGAAUGUUGAGGCCCUAGGCAAUGGCAUAGUUUGCCUUGGGCUAGGGCCGACCCUGAAAAUAACCAUCGUGGCCAAUUCGCCAUCUAUAUCCAUGUCUUGAAAUUCAGUUGGCCACUUAGAUUGCUUCUCUGGAGUAAGGUCCCUCAUCAUCUAAUGAUGCAUUAACUAACUGCGAAACAAUUGAAAAUACGAACUGGACCAAAUGAACGCUGAGUGAAUAUGUGAGAGAAAUUAAGGAUAGUAUCAAAUGAAUUCAUGAUCCUGCAUCGAGACGAGAGGUAAGAAAUGUUAGUCAUAUACGACAGCUCAUACCAGUUGUGCAUAUAUCCCAAUUGGUUCAUACCAUAUUUAG